ensembl:lncRNA
AUGAACUCUAAAGUUCCAUCUCUCCACUAUGAUUAAGCAGGCAAAGACUGCCAGAGUUGACUUUCUCAGAACAAUGGAAUCUAUAACAAAAUUUACAACAUCUAGAUGGAUGCUUAGUGAAAAAAGAAGCCACUAAAUUUUGAAUCCCAGGAUAAAGUACAGAAGGGAGCCCCUCAGCUGCUGCUUUUAUUUAAAGCAAAAUGAAAAUAAAAAAGAUUUCCAUUGCAGAUGCAAACUUCAGUGUGCUUGUGCUGGUCAGAUGGCCAUGCCUCAGAGGACAAGAGGCAGCCAAGAGCUGUUCUGGCGAGAUGAGAAGGAAACAGGUUCAGCACAUGUCUGAGCAACUGACACAGCCAGAACUGUCCCUAGCAAAAUGGAAUGUGAGGUUACUGCAGCUAUGACCAAGUUUGCAUAUGCAAGCAAUGCCAACCACACCAGAACUAUUAUCUCUUGGACACUGUACAGUGUAUUACGUCUAAUUGCAUAAAUGCUAAAAGGUGGAGGGGGAAAUGUACAUCUAGGGUUAAUAAAGGAUGAUACACAACCUGUCAAAGACUCUCUUUUCUUUUGGUGAGGGCUUCAUGCUAUCUACAGGGGUCUGCAUUCUCUCCAAGCUCUUGUCUAUCUCCCCUUUGGUCUGUAAUGAUCACUUUCCAUCUCUGGGAGCCUUGUGUCUCCUGACUUAAUGCAUUGCAGGAUGCUGAGUCCAAGUUAUGAAAAAGCUAUAGCCAUUAGUGCAUUGCAUCCACCCUGUUUAGAUGAUCUCACCCUCAGCUAUCAAUAUUAGAG